GUCCUAUGGAGGAGGCAGCAGAGACUCUGCUCUCCUCGUUUGGAUUAAUUCUGAUAUAAUAACUGUUGGUUUAUUUAUCGGUGGAGCAGCAGAACAUUUUCCACAGACAGUUUUCCUGCCCGUUGGCUUGUUUUAAACAGUUUUCUGCCUUCGGCUGAUUCUACCAGCAGACACUGAAAGGACUCUGAUAGUUCGAGUGAAAGUAGCAGUUCCUCCUUAAGGCCAGAGAUUGCAGCAUCUGAGGGCCUCUUCAAAGGAAGACGUAGUUGAUGAAGGCGUUCUGGAGCAGGACCAGAAAGACCACGACCAAGCAGCCUUGAGAUCUUAGGCAGCAUCUCCCUCAGGUCCCUCUCUAUCUCCCCACACAUCCACCAACCACUGGAACACAUCUCCAAAGUUCUGCCAGGCCAGCUCAGCUUCCCCUCAGAAGAAGUGGCGCCACCUGCCAGAUGAAGGAGCCUUUUGAGAGGCAGCUGGCAUCGUGAUUGGACUGUACUUUGGUCUGUUCCAGUCCAGCUUCAGCUCCAGAGAUGGCAGGCGGGACGAGUCAACGGAGGCCGGGUGGACGAAGGCGUGCAGCUGAGUAUAAUCCAGAAAACAACAGAGGAGGAUUGCAGCAGCCCAGGGCCAGAACAACCAGAGUAGCAUCGUAUGUCUCUUAGAAAACAUCAUAGUAUAGCCUUUGGUAUGAAAAAACGCCAUCAUAUACAUUGUAUAUUGUACAAAUAAGUCAAAGCAAAGAGACAUACAUUGUAGAAUUGUAGUGAGUGUGGGCUGACUGAUUUCCUGAUUAUCAGUAUUUUAUUUUUUACUGAUUUACGGUAAUAAAUACAUUUAAAAAUGGUGCUAAUUUGGCGCUAAUUUGGCUCUGAAUGUUUAUCUACCUGUGGUCGCUCUGUCUUCUGGAGUGAUUUGAUUGGUUAUAUAUCACAAAUAAAACU